rnacentral:misc_RNA from 1 species
GAUGAAGAACUUAGUGAAAUGCGAUAAGUAAUGCGAAUUGCAGAAUCCGUGAGUCAUCGAAUCUUUGAACGCACAUUGCGCCCGUCAGUAUUCUGGCGGGCAUGCCUGUUCGAGCGUCAUUACGCCCCUCAAGUCCCCUGUGGACUUGGUGUUGGGGAUCGGCGAGGCUGGUUUUCCAGCACAGCCGUCCCUUAAAUUAAUUGGCGGUCUCGCCGUGGCCCUCCUCUGCGCAGUAGUAAAACACUCGCAACAGGAGCCCGGCGCGGUCCACUGCCGUAAAACCCCCCAACUUUUUAUAGUUGACCUCGAAUCAGGUAGGACUACCCGCUGAACUUAAGCAUAUCAAUAAGCGGAGGA